GUUCAAAAAGGGGUCCACUACUCAGGAACACUCAUCUUCAAUAAUUUGCCAGGAAACAUAAAAAAUUUAGUUACCACAUCCAGUUGAAGGCACUGAGAGUAUUAUCUUCGAAGACGAAAUUUUUGGCGGGCAGAAAGAUCUGUGGUUGUUAUUGUUUUCGUCCAGGAGGUAGAUGCCGCAUGGAACUUCUGUAGUAACUCAGUAAUAGGCUUUGUGGUAUUGUGAAUUCUAAGAGACAAGAAACGGAACGCAAAAUUGUUGGAGAGAAAACAGGAAACGUAAUAUACAUUCGCAUUCUGGGAGGCAAACAAGCUGAUGGGUUAAAAUGAUUGUCUCACUGAAGAAUAUAGCCGUGAAACUCGCUAAAAACAGGAAGAGAAAUGCAGCAAAACUGGAGAUACUGUGGGAAAUUCGCAUUCGCAAAAUAAGAUGCUGAAAUAGCAGAAGCACAUUGCAAAUCCAGUACCACAACAGAGUGACUACAGGAUUGCACAACCAAACGUUCUCUGCCAUCACCCUAUAUUUUCUGGGAUGGUUACUAGGGAUAGGCAACAGCCAGUACCCAAGAUCAUUAUUUUUAUUUUACCGUCUGUGCCAAAUUAAUGUGUGUGAUAAUAUAUUAAUGUUACGUCAUUGUCUGUAGUAGUAUGAUAGAUACACUUUAAGAAAAUGAAAUGGUUUACAUUCCGCUGUGAAAACCCACUGUCAUAAAAUGUUUAUUGAUGUGGAUGACAGUUGUAUCUCUUGUCUUGGAGUUACUGUUGCAAUGAAUGUGAUUUUUUAGUAUGACAUGUU